rnacentral:tRNA from 1 species
GAGCCGAUAGAUCAGCCUGGAAGAUCACUCGGUUGACGUCCGAGAGGUCGGGGGUUCGAUUCCCCCUCGGCCCA